rnacentral:rRNA from 1 species
GUGAGGAAUUUUCCGCAAUGGGCGAAAGCCUGACGGAGCAAUGCCGCGUGAAGGAUGAAGGCCUAUGGGUUGUAAACUUCUUUUCUCAGAAAAGAAUUAUGACGGUAUCUGAGGAAUAAGCAUCGGCUAACUCUGUGCCAGCAGCCGCGGUAAGACAGAGGAUGCAAGCGUUAUCCGGAAUGCUUGGGCGUAAAGCGUCUGUAGGUUGUUUAAAAAGUAUUCUGUCAAAGAUUAGGGCUUAACCCUAGAUAGGCAGAAUAAACUUUUAAGCUAGAGUUUGGUAGAUGCAGAGGGAAUUCCCGGUGGAGCGGUGAAAUGCGUAGAUAGCGGGAGGAACACCAAAGGCGAAGGCACUCUGCUGGGCCAAUACUAACACUGAGGGACGAAAGCGAGGGGAGCCAAUGCGAUUAGAAACCCCUGUAGUCC